CAGCAGCCGCGGGAAUACGUAGGUGGCAAGCGUUGUCCGGAUUUAUUGGGCGUAAAGCGAGCGCAGGCGGUUCCUUAAGUCUGAUGUGAAAGCCCACGGCUCAACCGUGGAAGGUCAUUGGAAACUGGGGAACUUGAGUGCAGAAGAGGAGAGUGGAAUUCCAUGUGUAGCGGUGAAAUGCGUAGAUAUAUGGAGGAACACCAGUGGCGAAGGCGACUCUCUGGUCUGUAACUGACGCUGAGGCUCGAAAGCGUGGGGAGCAAACAGGAUUAGAUACCCCAGUAGUCCCUGUCUCUUAUAC
rnacentral:rRNA from 1 species